UGGGGUUAGUUUGUUUUCUUUUUCAGUUCCACCAUUCGUCCACUAGAUGGUGCCAUCUGGUUACUUCUGUCUUGGAGGGCUUGCCUACACGUCUCAACUACCCACACCUGCAACAAAUCUUUCAUUACCUCAGAGGAGUAUAUGAGCAGCUGACUGUCAUCACCUCUUCGCCAGAGUGUUUGCCUGUUUUGGGCAGGAAACCUUCAGAUCCUCUGGGAUUUUUCAAGUCCUUCCAGCCCUAGAAGAAAACCUCUUGAGACGUUGAGAGUGCCACAACUUACCUCUUCUGAGCUUCAACCUCAUCAAAGCUUUCAGUUGACAGUCUGCUCUGCUGCUCCUCUGUGCCACCUUAAACUUACCUCUCCGCCGUCCAAGGACUCAUCCACCUUCUACCAGCCAAGGCCUCCACAAACUGGAACCUCUGACAACCCUCAAACUCAGGCUGCUAGUUCAAUUGCACCUGGAUUCCUGGCCGCAGGACCCACCAACCUGAGAUAACCCUGUUUCUGUUUUUGUUUGUUUGAAACAUCUGGGGAACAUACAUGUCCAUCUGGUUUUGCAACGUCUGAUGGAGAACAGACUUUUUUGUCAAGGCAGAGAAAUGUGUGUUUCAUGCUUCUUCAAUUUCCUUCCUGGGAGUCUUAUACUCAGGACUGGGGAGGUGAAAGCUGAUCCACACAAGGUCCAUAGAGUUUUAGAGUGGCCAGUCCCCACUAAAAGGAAACAUCUUCAGCGUUUUCUUGGGUUUUCAAAAUUCUACUGGUGGUUCAUAAAGAACUACAACCAAACAGCUGCCCUGCUAGCUAGCCUAACUUCACCAAGAAACUGUUUACAUGGGCACCUGAGGCAGAUCGGGCCUUUCAGGAGCUUAAGAACAAGUUUGGUAAUGCACCCGUGCUAGGCCAACCAGACCCAUUAAAGCAAUUAAUUUUGGAGGUUGAUGCCUCUGACUCAGGUUUUGGUGCGGUGCUGUCUCAGAUCUCUACAGAAGAUGACAAGUUACAUCCCUGUGCCUUCUUUUCCUGACGUCUUUCCCCUUCGGAGAGGAACUAUGAUGAAGGGGACAUAGAGCUCUUAGCUAUAAAGCUGGCCAUAGAGGAGUGGUGCCACUAAUUGAAGGAACAGAUUUACCUAUUAUUUUUGGACUGACCACAAAAACUUGUCCUAUUUACAAGAGUUGAAAGGCCUGAAUCCUACACAGGAUCUUUCAUCACUAAUUUUGUUCACUUGUUUAAAACCUCCAUCCUGUAUUGUUGGCACUGUUACCUGGUACAUACCAGACCUUGUUUGUGCAGCCCAGCGCCAAGAACCGGAUCUUAGCAUCGGUCCUCCAAAUCUUACUUAUGGUCCCACAUCUGUCUGCUUCUGUGUCACUCACUGGGUGCACACAGCCAAGUUCUCCUGUCAUCCAGGAGUUGACAGAAACAUAAAUCUUCUGAGACGUACUGUACAUUUUGGUAGCCAUCUUUGAACCGGAAUGUUAAGGAAUAUGUCCUUGCUUGCUAUGUCUUUGCCCGGAAUAAAUCAUUCAGUCAGUGGGCGUCUUCAACCUCUGCCAAUACCUGAGCUGCCAUGGUCCCACAUUUCUCUAGAUAUUAUUACAGGGUUGCCUUUCUCCAGUGGUUUCUCCACCAUUUGUGCUAUCAUUGACAGAUUCUCUUAGACCUGCAACCUUGUUCCGUUAAGAAAAUUCCCAUCUUUACUUUAAAUGGCUCAGCUUCUCAUAAAACAUGUGUUCUGAUUACACAGCAUCUCUCAGGAGACUCUCUCAGAUACAUUUACUUCUUGGGUUAGAAGAGUGUUUUGCACUAGAGCUAAAGUUCUACUCUGCUUGGGUUUUCACCCAUAGACUAAUGGUCAGACAGAAUGUCUGAAUCAAGAAGUAGAGGCUUCUCUACGUUGCCUUUGUUUGUCCAACCCAACUACAUGGAGUUCCCUGUUGCCUUGGAUUGAGUACUCUCACAACAGUCAUGUAUCUUCUGCUAUUGGGGAACGGCAGGCUUCAGUUACAUCUGUCCAACAUACUAUUCGGUGCUGGAAACAUAUUUAGGAACAGACUAGGAGAGCCCUUCAUCAGACUGCAGAACAGAAUCGGUGCUAUACGGACUGCAAACAAGCUCCUGUUCCGGCCUUCUGCUCCGGAGACAAGGUAUAGCUUUCCACCAAAGACUUUCAGAUGAAAUCUGCUAACAAGAAGCUUUCACCCAAAUUUACUGGCCCCUAUGAUGUGGAAUCCGUUUAAGGCCCUUAUUCAGUUCGUAUAAGACUGCCAAGGAGUCUCAAGAUCCAUCCCAUUUUUCAUGUUUCUUUGAUUAAGCCCAUCAGAUCUAGCCACCUGUGCCCUCUUAUUGAGAAACCUCCUUCCCCCUGGACAUUGGUGUGCACCCUACCUACACUGUUAGGAGGGUGCUGGAUUUCUGUCAGUGCGGCGGAGGUUUCCAGUACCUGGUAGACUGGGAGGGUUACGGCCCAGAGGAAAGUUCCUGGGUUUCUUGUUCCCUCAUCCUGGACCCUGACCUCAUUAGAGACUUUGAAGAUUUUUGUCCUGGUCCCAGUGGACCGCAAAGGGCCGGUCGUGAUGUAAUAAUCAGGUUAUUUGACCUGUUGGUUUAUUUGUCGGUUCCAAAUCCAGCUCCAGCAUUCAAUGUCAUUGUGUACUUGGGCAAGACACUUCACAUGCAUUCCCUACUGAUGGUGGUCAGAAUGCCCUGUAGCGCAUUGUAUGGCAGUCUUGCUUCUGCAGUGAGCCAAAGGGAAGCUGUGGCUACAAUGUAGCUUGCCACCAUCAGUGUGUGAGUAUGUGAAUGGGUGAAUGAUUGAAUGUAGUGUAAUCUUUGAUCAACUCUCCUGAUAGUAAAAAGUGCUAUAUAAGUACUGUCCAUUUCCCAUUUUCACCAUAUAUGGGCGUCAGAUAAAACAUUUUAACAGACAUCCUGCAGCCACUCAAAAUCAACUAUUCACACAGACCAUGGCCGAAAUUAUAUUAAAACAUAGAAAAUCAUCUACUGCUGGAGAAAUAUUUAAUAACUUUUCAAAUCAUUACAAGUAUCACUGUAUUUAAUUCUAGCUUUCCAGACUUUUAGAUUAGGUUAGUUUCGCCAAUUACCUCUUUUUCGUUGAUUGGUUUAAUCUCUCAAUGGCAGGUCUAUAAAACAACAUCCCAUUCUUCAAUUUAUGCCAGCCACAGGGCUCUACUUUCUCGCUGGUCAGAUCAGCAUACAAUUACUUUUUAUCAAAUCUAUAUAAAUUCAGAGUCACAAUAUAAACCACAUCAAAUUAUUUCUAUGAUUCUAAACAUGAAAACAAAAUCUAACCAAAUUCCAAUUCCUGCACUAAUGUUUUUUACUACUACUUAUUUCAACUGAAGAUUGACUGAUAUGGUUUUAGCUAUAGAUGCUUCAUCUCUCAACAUCCCGGAACCUUCGAUCAUGCUUGGCUGUUUCUACAUCCAAGAAAUAGCAGUAUAAUCAAAGCUAAUUUUCUUUUUAAAAGCUACAAUUUUUGGUAGUGUGUACACUGCUGCUAAAAUUCAAUGUGGGGAUAUUUUUCUGUUGCGCAUAUAAGCACAUGCGUAUUAGAAAAAUGUAUGCCAAUCUGAAAGUGUAUGCUGUUUUGACAGAAAACCGGCUCCUCCAGGGUUGAGGGCAGAUCAUGUUUGAGUGCGGAAUAAACAGCUGAUUAAUACACAGCAUUCUCAUGAAAUAGGUGCAUUUAAGAGCAUAUUUAAUGGAGUUUGAUUACUACAUUUAUGAAGCGUGAAGGUAAACAAUGCAUAUUUUAGCAAUCAUUUUAUGAAAUUUGCAGUGGAGGUUAUGCCUCCAUAAUAUUCAAUAAGAAAUUUUUACUGAUAGAAUGAACUGGUGCAGUGAUGUUUGCAACUCCUCUGCAUAAUGCAAUCUGGUAAAUAAAGGAACUCCUACAUAUUUCUGUCUCUUGAACUAAGGUAUACACAGUUAGUGCACUGUCAUUUUAUGAAAAUGUGACAAGAAUAGUGCAAGCAUCAUUCAUAAUGAAAACAUGAUCCAAGGAUUGCAUACGUAUUAAAAUACAUAACCAUUGUCAAUUUGGCAGGUUGAACACCUUUCAUCUUUCAGAGGAUCUUUACAACUCUUAUAAAAUAGAUACAUAUAUACCAUUACAUUUAUCCAGAUUUGACAUUUACUCAAGAGAUACUUGUAAUUAUUUUUCUGAAGUGCAACUAAUGGCAAGAAAAAGAAUUUCCCUUACAGACGGAGGCCAGUUCCAUUUCCGGCUUGAAUAUGUUUAUUCACUUCUGGGGACUGUUUGGCUGUAAUCAGCUUGCAUAAAUCUCUUUGAUGAUAGCCACAAGAACAUCUGCUGGAGCAACAAAAAAAUUGAGGGAGGUAAUAAAAUGUCUGGGUGAACAUAUGCUAAUGGAAAUGUGGUCUUCUCUGAAGUUUGUCACACUCCUCAACUUUCCGUGACAGUGUGAGCAGGCUAUGCAAGUAUAAAAGUCAAGUUUUGGUUCAUUGAAUCUAACACAGCUAAUGCUGUUAUUCCUGCUUUUGAAGGAUGAUAAUCACCUCACAGACAGGGUGAGCUUUGUAAGAUGAGGUGGUAAAGGUUUCUGUUAAUGCUGAGACAGCUUUGCCCUUCGGUAGUUUUGUUUCCUUUACUCCCUAUUUACAGUGAGAGGCACAGAGGCAUGCACAGUUCUGCUGUAAUAUCAACAAUAUUUUACCUUUUCCUACAAAAGCAGGGUCGAGAGGGACAUGGUUGGUAAGUUACUGUCUGCUGAGGAGUUUGUGUUUACUAUAGUACAGAGAUGGCAAAAGUACUCACUUUCCGUACUUGAGUAAAAGUACAGAUACUUGUGUUAAAAAAUACUCUGGUAAAAGUGGAAGUACUGAUU